AUGCGUGUUGGAGCCAUGUUUAUUUUGACAUUUUUAAGAAAAACUUUUAUAAAACAACGUCAAAACUUGCAUGUUGAUCUGAGCCUUGCUGUUCGAAAACCACAUUGGUGUCUGACUUUCGGAUGCCCCUCCCCCGACUUCACUCGACUUUCGUCUACGGCGUACAGAGGAGACACUGACGCACACAGCAGCUCUACAGACAUGUCGGACUCUGAGACCGCCGUUCCUACUGAGGCCCCUGUCCCUGCCACAUGUGCAAGCAUCAAGGCAGACCUGGACAAAUGUGUGAAGGAGGGGGGUGACUGUAAGGAUCUGAUGGAGGCAUUUGCAGCCUGUCUGAAGAGUGUAGCGGAGGCGUCGUGAGGAGAGCAGGAGCUAGACUCACAGGAAAUGUCCACUGCACAGGAUCCUCCACGUUUCCCAGCAUUCCCUUCUGCACAACAAGCACUGGGCUGAAUGAUACUGGCUGUGUUCAGCGCCUGGCAGAAACCAUCCACCUCUUACUUCCCUCCCCAACCCCCCUUGAAGCUUAAAUGGUGUCUUCCAAUUUAUACCCCUGCGCUGCUCCCACCAUGGCUGAGUACAUCCAUUGGUAGACAAUUCCGGAGAGCCUAUGGGUUUUAUGUAAAUUGUCCACUUGAGAUGUAUACAUUUAAAUGGAAUAAUAAAGUCUAAAAGAAAUUGGUAUAACAUUUUGCCUCUUGCUUUGCUUCUCUUUUUGAAUGUGAUAUGAAAUGUCAUUUCUGGCUCUUUAAACAGUUUUGUAACUUCAAUAGACAGGUUGGUUGUUUAGCAACAAAACCGACUCGUGUGAAACUAUGGGGCAAAACAGACUGGGUUGGCAUAGAUUGUUGACAACAUGUAAAAUAUGUUUCGUCUCCAAUGUUUAUUGAAAACAUAAAUAAAUGUGCACUUGUCUCAAAUACAUUGUUACAGUUGUUGGUUAGCUAGCAAGCAAAUUUUUGGCAUAUUAGCAUAGAUGUGACAUCAGUUAAAACUCCUCAAAACAAGACCAUGGUAUCAAGAACUAGCUGAAACGAGCCACUGGCGAUUCUCCACAUGGAAGCUUCUUGUCAUAGCCAAUAACUAUCUGACCAUCCAGAGUCACAAUCCACAGACUUCUGCCCCAUUGAAGCGUGCUCAUCAUUUUCUUGACAUUGUCAGCUAGCCCGUCUCUACAGUUUCAUGUACUGAAUUGGGUUAUGGCUUUGAGUUUUUACAUCUGUUUGAUACUGUUGUUGCAGACCAGGGCCCCUAUUUAUAAAGCUUCUCAUGAGUGCUGAUCUAGGAUCAGUUUAGCCUAAUGAAUGAGAUUGGGGGGACAUGAUGCUACAUCACAACUCCUACUCUGAAGUGCUUUAUGAAUACGGGCUCAUACCAUCAAAAGCUGGUGAAUGUGUCAUUUUAAGAUGUCGUCUCUGCACUUUUACUUUAAGAUUCAACUCAUUAUUCCAAAAGCGUUUGAACCUGGGACUAUUCUGUCUCUUUGUAAUGGGUUUAAAGGACCAGGAGUUUAAUUUGACUAAUGCAGUUAACCCUUACUCUGUCAAAUGCAACUGAUACACUCUUAAUUCUGACUGAUUCCACGAACACACUCUGAACGAGGCACUGGACACAGCCUGCAUCCCCAUUUUCCACCCUUCUAACAAACUGUACACUUGCUCUUUCUCAUAUGGAUUGAACAAUGGUGUAAACUGACUCCAGCUUAAUGCUUACACCAAUCAUAUGCUUUUAAAAACAUGAUGGGAAAAGUGCAAGUACACUUCUGGAAAAGGGUGUAGAACUAAGUGGGGUUCAGGGAGGUAUGACACACCCACUUUCUAUGGUGUGAGUAGACUCCAAGGCCAAUCAGGAUGCGUGAGUACAUGAAAGUUUCAAUCUACCUCCUGGGGCUCCGGAAUCAGAUAGCUGACGUGAGUGAGAGAGAGAUGGGACUGCAUCCAAGGACAAUGUGUGCAUGUAAGGAGGUUACAUGUGUGAAGGGGGCUGGGCAGUGGGACAUAGCAAGUAAAAAAAAGGUAUUAGGUGAACAAUAGAUAACUAAAGAAAUAAAAACAACAGUAAAAAAGACAGUGAAAAAUAACACUAGCGAGGCGAGGCUAUAUACAGGCACCGGUUAGUCGGGCUGAUUGAGGUAGUAUGUACAUGUAGGUAUGGUUAAAGUGACUAUGCAUAUAUGAUAAACAGAGUAGCAGUAGCGUAAACAUAACAGAACUAGGAGUGGCACAUAAGUGGACGCCAGCCCAUGAAGUCUUACGCUUCAAACACACGGACAGCGUCAUUGCAUUUUGGUACACCAGAAUGACAUUAAUUUCCAAUGAAACGUUGUGUUUGCCUUACACCAUUGCGUUGCAGAGGCAGUUGCAGUGCGUUUGGUGUGGUGCAUACGUUGGAUUUAUCGAACAUAUGCUUCAAACUGUAUGGGUAGACGGCUUGACAGAAAUGGUAGCAGAAGGUGAAUGUUGAACUUUUGUUACAUACAUAUCCAGAUGAUGCUGAGUAUUAUUGUGCGCAAGGACGCUGUCGUUGUGUUGGAAGCGUUAGCCUACCUCUUGUAGUUGAUUUGGUAUUUGUAAAUGUGAGUUAAAUGCUCUGUGAACUGAGUGUGUGAGAUAGGAGAUACACUAGCUAUGCACUAUGGUCAGUAUGCGUGUGUGAACUGUGUAUGAGAGAGCAAAUGGCGAGAGGAGAUAUGGCAAUAUAGGUGGUGGUACUGUACAUGCAUGUGGGAGAUAAAGGGUAUGUGUGUACGUGUGUAUGCGUAACAACUGUGGCCUGCUCUCACUGUGUUCCCAGGAAUGUUCAAUGUGAAAGAACAUACCUUUAUCCCCCCUCCCCAACCUCCUCCUGACACACAAACCACUAACCAGAGGGGUAUCCUACAAAGCAGGUUUGAGGAGUUAGUGAGGCAACAUUGGUCAAUUGGGAUAACAGGUCAUACAAAAGUGGCUCACCUUUUAGCCAGGUAAAUUUCUAUGGCAACAAAUCCUUCAGAACUAACCAGCUCCAGGGCAGGCUAACUCCACUUACCCUGAAUGAAAUGUCUGAACCACGAGUUGAGGUCCAUUGAAAUCAGAUUCCCUCCCUCUUGCAAAGAUUGCAUGAUCAUCCCCUUGAUUUGAGGAAGACUGAUUCAAUAUUUUAUUAAUCAAAUGUUUUGUGUUAAAAAAGAGUAAUGUUACAAUAUAUCACUUUGCAAAUUUAGUAAUGACAGAAUGCAUUUUAUCCUCUUGAUUCUAGCCAUCCCGGAUCCGGGAUCGUGAAUACAGCCUCAAGCUCAUUACCAUAACGCAACGUUAACUAUUCAUGAAAAUCGCAAAUGAAAUGAAAUAAAUAUGCUAGCUCUCAAGCUUAGCCUUUUGUUAACAACACUGUCAUCUCAGAUUUUCAAAAUAUGCUUUUCAACCAUAGCAAAACAAGCAUUUGUGUAACAGUAUUGAUAACUAGCGUAGCAUUUAGCGUUAGCAUUGAGCAGGCAACAUUUUCACAAAAACAAGAAAAGCAUUCAAAUAAAAUCAUUUACCUUUGAAGAACUUCGGAUGUUUUCAAUGAGGAGACUCUCAGCCUGUUGAGGAUCUUGAGUCCCAAUUGGGAACCAGCCCUCCCACCGUCAGCUGGAAUGUGGCGCAUGGAACGCAAAAAAUAUUCUUACAAAUAUUUAACCUCCACACAUUAACAAGUCCAAUAGCUCAAAUGAAAGAUAAACAACUUGUUUAUCUAGCCAGCAAGUCAGAUUUCUAAAAUGUUUUACGCCGAAAACAUAGCACAUAUUUAUGUCAAACCACCACCGAAGACACACCGAAGACCAAGCUAAUUUCCAUAGCCAAAUGCAACAAAAUAUGCAAUCACCAAACGCAGGAUUAAAAUAAAAGUAAUUUCACUAACCUUUUGAAAUCUUCAUCAA
rnacentral:lncRNA from 1 species